UACCAUCCUCCAGCCCUUGUACAGAGCACACACUGAACGUUGACUUCUGAACCAGAGCACUGGGUGGGAGUGUGGCUCAGUGGUUGAAAAUGUGGGCAUUAUGUGUUGUGCAGGCUCUGGGGUUGAUCCCUAGCACCAGAAAGGAAGGAAAGAAGUCCUAUAUUCCAGUUGAUUAUAUUACUUCAGGAAGAAGCAUUUUAAUUACUCUCCCAAGGAGUGAAGGACUUAGUUCCAAGAGAAUCAACAACUUUGAAUUAGGGACAUUUCCAUGGCUCUGCCACUUUUUUUUUUUUUUCCAAGAUUAUCUUUCCCAAUUUUACUACCCAGAAAGGCCUCUGACACAUGUGGCAACCCUCCUGAAGUAAUCAAAGUUGCAGAAAGAAAUGGGAAGCUUAAAAGAAUUUCCCCUUUUCAUCUAGGAGGGGAGGGCUAUUUUCCCCUCCUCAAAGCUAAACCCACACAGAUUCCUCAAAAGCAUGGGGACAAAGAAAUCAAGCUGGGCAUAUUAUGUGACUUGAUCUGUUGUCAACCUCUGCCUGGCAGCACUGUGGGCGCUCCAGAGCAUUGGUAAGGGGACAGACAGGAGGAAGCAAGUCCCAGCUGCCAAAGCAAGGAUCCUUGGCAGGCCAAGGACCAUGACCCACAUGUGGGAAUUUAACAGUAGGAAGGGGAAUGAGACAGGUGUUAUUUGAGAUGCCUUCAUGAUCAGAUCCCUCAAAGCUCAGAAGGGCCAUCACAGCCCAUGUGUCACUCAAAGUUAAAGCCCAUGCACAUGAUAUGCAUGUGGACUUCUCUUUCUGUUAAGCAUUGCCUUUCCCCCAGGUGAAAUUCUGAAAAUAAAGACAGUCCCUGACAGACCACAAAGAUGGAUGUUACAAUACAACAAUAUCUCAACACAUAUGUACCUCUAAACCAUGGACAAUAACGCCAGGAAGAUUUGGAGGUGACCAGUUUUUGAGUUGGCUGAACAUUGGCCCUGGGGGUAAAAGAUCCUAAAAGCAUGAUCUAGGGACCUUAUGGGCCUAGAAGGUAGGAUUCUUUAGAAUCACAGGUCUAAUUGGCAUAGCCACACAGCCUUGGCUGGCCCCAUGAUGACUCAGCUUGCUGUAUGGCCUCUUUAUAAAAUAGAUCUGGGAUUGGGUACCCACUUACUUAGUCCCAGUUGGGCUAGUUCUUCAAGCUGAG